UACGGAGGGUGCGAGCGUUGUCCGGAAUCAUUGGGCGUAAAGGGCGCGUAGGUGGCCCGGUCAGUUCGUGGUGAAAGCGCGGGGCUCAACCCUGCGUCGGCCAUGAAUACUGCCGCGGCUGGAGCACUGUAGAGGCAGGCGGAAUUCCGGGUGUAGCGGUGGAAUGCGUAGAGAUCCGGAGGAACACCAGUGGCGAAGGCGGCUCGCUGGGCUCUACCUGACGCUGAGGCGCGAAAGCGUGGGGAGCGAACCGG
rnacentral:rRNA from 1 species